CCUUAUUAAACCCCACUGCACUACAUUUACUACACACACACACACAUUGACUAUGCAUUGACUAUACACAUUGCAUACAAUAAACACACACAGCAACUCCUACACAGACACUGCAUUCACUACACACACUGUAUAACAUAACAGACGUGCGCAAAAUUUUGGGAGGGCAGCAUUUCAUCCUUGGACUCAGGCAGCACAAUGUCUUGGGCCGGCCCUGUAC